UAGGGAAUCUUCCGCAAUGGACGAAAGUCUGACGGAGCAACGCCGCGUGAGUGAAGAAGGAUUUCGGUUCGUAAAACUCUGUUGUUAGGGAAGAAAAAAUGUAUAGUAACUAUAUACAAAAGAGACGGUACCUAACCAGAAAGCCACGGCUAACUACGUGCCAGCAGCCGCGGUAAUACGUAGGGGGCUAGCGUUGUCCGGAAUCACUGGGCGUAAAGGGUUCGCAGGCGGAAAUGCAAGUCAGGUGUAAAAGGCAGUAGCUUAACUACUGUAAGCAUUUGAAACUGCAUAUCUUGAGAAGAGUAGAGGUAAGUGGAAUUUUUAGUGUAGCGGUGAAAUGCGUAGAUAUUAGGAAGAAUACCGGUGGCGAAGGCGACUUGCUGGACACAAACUGACGCUGAGGAACGAAAGCGUGGGUAGCAAACAGG
rnacentral:rRNA from 1 species